UACGGGGGGGGCAAGCGUUGUUCGGAAUUACUGGGCGUAAAGGGCUCGUAGGUGGCCAACUAAGUCAGACGUGAAAUCCCUCGGCUUAACCGGGGAACUGCGUCUGAUACUGGAUGGCUUGAGUUCGGAAGAGGCGAGUGGAAUUCCCGGUGUAGCGGUGAAAUGCGCAGAUAUCGGGAGGAACACCUAUGGCGAAGGCAGCUCGCUGGGACGUUACUGACGCUGAGACGCGAAAGCGUGGGGAGCAAACAGG
rnacentral:rRNA from 1 species